UACGGAGGGGGCUAGCGUUGUUCGGAAUUACUGGGCGUAAAGCGCGCGCAGGCGGUCUUCCAAGUCAGUGGUGAAAGCCCGGAGCUCAACUCCGGAACUGCCAUUGAAACUGUUGGACUUGAGUACGAGAGAGGUGAGUGGAAUUCCCAGUGUAGAGGUGAAAUUCGUAGAUAUUGGGAAGAACACCGGUGGCGAAGGCGGCUCACUGGCUCGUAACUGACGCUCAGGCGCGACAGCGUGGGGAUCAAACAGG
rnacentral:rRNA from 1 species